rnacentral:rRNA from 1 species
UACGGAGGGGGCAAGCGUUGUUCGGAAUUACUGGGCGUAAAGGGCUCGUAGGCGGCCAACUAAGUCGGACGUGAAAUCCCUCAGCUUAACCGGGGAACUGCGUCCGAUACUGGUUGGCUUGAGUUUGGGAGAGGGAUGCGGAAUUCCAGGUGUAGCGGUGAAAUGCGUAGAUAUCUGGAGGAACACCGGUGGCGAAGGCGGCAUCCUGGACCAAUACUGACGCUGAGGAGCGAAAGCCAGGGGAGCAAACGGG